AUGGGGACACUCCGGGCGGCCGUGACCCUGCUGGAGUCCGGGGGGGACCUCCAGCCCCCCGGGGGGUCCCUGCGCCUCCUCUGCCGCGCCUCUGGAUUUGAGUUUGGGAAUUUUGGGAUGGACUGGAUGCGCCAGAGACCCGGGAAGGGGCUGGAAUGGGUCGCAGGGAUCAACAGUGAUGGUAGCACCUGGUACGCAUCGUCCGUGCGUGGCCGGUUCACCAUCAGCAGGGACAACGGGCAGAGCUCGGUGACGCUGAGCAUGAACAACCUCCAGGACGAGGAUUCCGGGGUUUAUUUCUGUGCCAAACCCAGGAAUUGGAGACACUGGGGCAUCGAUCUGGGUGCAGGAGCCACGGCCACGGUCGCCCUCAACACG